AUUUUCAUAAACUGACUCUAGUCUUUUUAUUGUAGAGAUGGAUAAGAGUUGGAUGUGAGCUAAGAACAAGUUUGGCCCAGAGUAUAAACAAGGGGUUCAAGAGUUCAUGGAAUUUGCGCGAAAUCAGGCAGAGGGAGGAGCAGGAGAGGAGGAUGGAGGAGAUGCGGGUGGAGCAUGAGCGACGAAUGACAGAGAUGUUAUAGGCUCUCGCUACACGCUUACCCACCGAUGCCCCACCACCUCCACCUUCAUCUUUGUGAUUUUUUAUAUUUUUAUUUAUUAUGUUAAACUUAUAUGUAUUUAUGCAUGAAUGAAUUUGAUGUGGAUAAGAUUGUUUGUGUUUGGAUGAAUGUAGUUUAUGUUUGGAUGAAUUUAAUA